rnacentral:rRNA from 1 species
CCCGUGGCGGAAUGUUUACACCAUGCAAGUCGAACGGCAGCACGGACUUCGGUCUUGGUGGCGAGUGGCGAACGGGUGAGUAUAUAUCGGAACGUGCCCAGUCGUGGGGGAUAACGUAGUGAAAAUUACGCUAAUACCGCAUACGAUCUAUGGAUGAAAGCGGGGGAUCGCAAGACCUCGCGCGAUUGGAGCGGCCGAUAUCAGAUUAGGUAGUUGGUGAGGUAAAGGCUCACCAAGCCAACGAUCUGUAGCUGGUCUGAGAGGACGACCAGCCACACUGGAACUGAGACACGGUCCAGACUCCUACGGGAGGCAGCAGUGGGGAAUUUUGGACAAUGGACGCAAGUCUGAUCCAGCCAUUCCGCGUGCAGGACGAAGGCCUUCGGGUUGUAAACUGCUUUUGUACAGAACGAAAAGGUCUCUAUUAAUACUAGGGGCUCAUGACGGUACUGUAAGAAUAAGCAC